AGGGNUCAAGUCCCUCUAUCCCCA
rnacentral:tRNA from 1 species